UACGUAGGUGGCUAGCGUUGUCCGGAUUUACUGGCGUAAAGAGCGCGCAGGCGGUCGUUCAAGUCGAGUGUGAAAGCCCCCGGCUCAACUGGGGAGGGUCACUCGAUACUGAUCGACUUGAAGGCGGGAGAGGGAAGCGGAAUGCCCGGUGGAGCGGUGAAAUGCGUAGAGAUCGGGCGGAACACCAGCGGCGAAGGCGGCAUCCUGGCCCUAUCCUGACGCUGAGGCGCGAGAGCGUGGGGAG
rnacentral:rRNA from 1 species